rnacentral:rRNA from 1 species
GAUGAACGCUGGCGGCGUGCCUAAUACAUGCAAGUCGAGCGAACAGAUGAGGAGCUUGCUCCUCUGACGUUAGCGGCGGACGGGUGAGUAACACGUGGAUAACCUACCUAUAAGACUGGGAUAACUUCGGGAAACCGGAGCUAAUACCGGAUAAUAUAUUGAACCGCAUGGUUCAAUAGUGAAAGUCGGUUUUGCUGUCACUUAUAGAUGGAUCCGCGCCGCAUUAGCUAGUUGGUAAGGUAACGGCUUACCAAGGCAACGAUGCGUAGCCGACCUGAGAGGGGGAUAGGCCGCACGGGAACGGAGACACGGUCCAGACGCCUAAGGGAGGCAGCAGUAGGGAAUCUUACGCAAAGGGCGAAAGCAUGACGGAGCAACGCCGCGUGAGUGAUGAAGGUCUUCGGAUCGUAAAACUCUGUUAUUAGGGAAGAACAAAUGUGUAAGUAAAUAUGGACGUCUUGACGGUAACUAAUCAGAAAGCCACGGCUAACUACGUG